GCUCCACUCAAAAAAUAACAUUCCGCGGCCAGAACGCUGGGAGCUUCGUUGUCUGCGCAACCGCCUCCCAGCGUUAGGAACCAUACCAUACGGGCUGCUUCCGUCAGUGGGAAUGAAGUAUCUAGCACUGAGCCCCAGCAUGAAUGGAAGAGCAUCAACUGCUAACUAUGAAGACUUGGGGCUUCAGCUGAUGAUUGAAGCUGUUAUCAAAUACAUUUUAAAUUUUUGAAUAAUACUGAAUACAUAUUGCAUUUUAAAUUAUAACAAAUGCAGUUUGUUAACUGCUGGAUGAACUUCCUACAUUUCAAGUUAUAUAGGUCUCCUUCACAACCAAACAAUCUUUAAUAUGAUUUCAUUUUUGUUUAAAAGUUGGUUAACACCAUGUUAACAUGCUGGUUCCAAAAAUAUGCACAGUUGGCUCAACAGAUAACAUUUUAUUGAUAAAAUAAUUGUAUUCAAAGAUUACAAAAUUGCAAAUAAGUAUUUAUAAAAUGCUUGCUUAAAACAUCUGCAAUGCUUGCAGUGUUAACUGCAAGUUAAAACUAGAGUUAAUUAUAUACAAUUUCUACAAAAAUUUUCACUGUACAUUUACUUUAUAUUUAGAUCAAUUCAAAAAGCCAGUCAUGAAGUUAAUGUUAAAGUAAUAAAGAAGAUAAUGGAUGGAAAAUGUACAUUAGGGAGUGCUUCAAGAAAGUAAUAGCAAAGAGCUCGAAAAUAGAGGUUAAUUUUAUAAUUGUGUAUGGAUUAAAUACUGAAUUUUAGAUAAGCUUCAUAAUGCUUAGAGAGCCAGUGCUGCUUAUAAAGGAAAGAUUAGAUUUUGAGGCAUUUAUUGAAACUCUUUAGAAAUACUUAAGUUUCUUAAGAAAACUGCAAUAGUUCAUUGCAAUUAAAGUCAUUUCAAUUUUGUUUAGAGAGUCAGUAAUUGAGGAAUGAGUAUUUAAUAAAACAUUAGGAAUAUGAGCCUAAGGGCAAAAGACCUGCUGAUAACAUAUGAAGUGCAAGAUUUGCUGACUAUUGAUUUUGUAAAUGAAAGGAGCACUGGCACUAUUUUAAGCUGACUUUGUAUUUUGAUUUUGAUAAAUCUAUAAUGCAAC